rnacentral:sRNA from 1 species
UGCCGCGCAGUUAGGCAGCAGCAGCCGCGGAGCAGUAGCCGCCGUGGGAGGGAGCCAUGAAGCAUUACGAGGUGGAGAUUCUGGAUGCAAAGACAAGGGAGAAGCUGUGUUUCUUGGACAAGGUGGAGCCCCAUGCCACCAUUGCGGAGAUCAAGAACCUCUUCACUAAGACCCAUCCGCAGUGGUACCCCGCCCGCCAGUCCCUCCGCCUGGACCCCAAGGGCAAGUCCCUGAAGGAUGAGGAUGUUCUGCAGAAGCUGCCCGUGGGCACCACGGCCACACUGUACUUCCGGGACCUGGGGGCCCAGAUCAGCUGGGUGACGGUGAGUCCUGACCCUACCCACAGCCUCUUUUCCCGUCAGCCACAUUGGGUGACUCAUCUUGCCCCCCUCUACUUUCAGGUCUUCCUAACAGAGUACGCGGGGCCCCUUUUCAUCUACCUGCUCUUCUACUUCCGAGUGCCCUUCAUCUAUGGCCACAAAUAUGACUUUACGUCCAGUCGGCAUACAGUGGUGCACCUCGCCUGCAUCUGUCACUCAUUCCACUACAUCAAGCGCCUGCUGGAGACGCUCUUCGUGCACCGCUUCUCCCAUGGCACUAUGCCUUUGCGCAACAUCUUCAAGAACUGCACCUACUACUGGGGCUUCGCCGCGUGGAUGGCCUAUUACAUCAAUCACCCUCUCUACACUCCCCCUAGUAAGUGGCCUCAGACCAUCCUUCCCUCCUCCACGGUCCCCACCCAGCGGGUCCUCCUCUCAUGGGCUCCCCUCCCUGCUUUCUCUUCAGCCUACGGAGCUCAGCAGGUGAAACUGGCGCUCGCCAUCUUUGUGGUAAGGAGGCUGGGUGUGGGGACGGGGUCAGGGGAGUCUGGGCGGCCCUAGGCUGAUCCUGCUUCUCUGACAGAUCUGUCAGCUCGGCAACUUCUCCAUCCACAUGGCCCUGCGGGACCUGCGGCCCGCUGGUGAGUGCCUGCUGGGGGCAAGGGGACAGCUGGGCUGGGUGAGGGGGUCUGACUUCCUCCUUCUGUCCUGCCUGCCAGGGUCCAAGACGCGGAAGAUCCCAUACCCCACCAAGAACCCCUUCACGUGGCUCUUCCUGCUGGUGUCCUGCCCCAACUACAC